rnacentral:rRNA from 1 species
CAGACCUCUAAUCGGAAAAGACUACCCGCUGAGUUUAAGCAUAUCACUAAGCGGAGGAGAAGAAACUAACCAGGAUUUCCCUAGUAACGGCGAGCGAACCGGAAAGAGCCCAGCUUGAAAAUCGUGGCGCCUCGCGCCUCGAGUUGUAGUCUGGAGAAGGUCCCUCUGCGGCGCGCCGGACCCAAGUUCCCUGGAAAGGGACGUCAUCGAGGGUGACAACCCCGUCCGCGCCCGGAACGCGUCGCUCCACGAGGACCUGUCUGCGAGUCGGGCUGUUUGGGAAUGCAGCCCUAAGCGGGAGGUAAAUUCCUUCUAAGGCUAAAUAUGGGCAAGAGACCGAUAGCGAACAAGUACCGCGA